rnacentral:rRNA from 1 species
GACGUAGGGGGCAAGCGUUGUUCGGAAUUAUUGGGCGUAAAGCGCUCGUAGGCGGGACAGGAAGUUCGUGUUGAAAGACCUCGGCUCAACUGAGGGACCGGCUCGAAUACUCUUGUUCUUGAGGCAAUCAGAGGGUGAUGGAAUUCCCGGUGUAGCGGUGAAAUGCGUAGAUAUCGGGAGGAACAUCAGUGGCGAAGGCGGCCAUCUGGGACAACACUGACGCUGAAGCACGAAAGCGUGGGGAGCAAACAGG